AUCAUUUUAAAAACAAGUCCAAUGAGCCUUGAGCCUAACCAAUUGUCCAUACAAAAGUUCAGAAUAACCUUUGAAUUAAACGACAACACAAAGAGUACCGAACCAAACGUACAAGAUAGUAAGAUACAACUGAAAAGUCGGAAACCAUGCCCACCUCCGAAGCUCAAGAAUUAUACUUACACUCGAAUACAGAGUUGUAGUCCCACUCCCUAUUCCCUAAACACUUCUUCCAUGGCGUCCGUACUCGGAAGUUGCUCGACAGCAGCAACUUUGGCCCCUCGACAUCUCUCAUCUCGCACUUCCAGGACUUCAAUUCCCUCUCUCUAUAUGCCCAGGGAAGAGUUCUGGGAGGAAGUUUUAUGGAGGGAUUGGGAUUCGUGGAAAGAAAAGGUCUCAAUUCCAUGUGACCAAUGUUGCUACUGAAAUCCCCUUCUGAGCAGGUAAUGUCUCAGCAGUCUAUGGAAAUGCAGCUUUGAGCAAGCGUUGAGCUGUCCACUUUGCUCACAAAGGGAUUUAUCUUCACCCAAACAAGAGAGAAGACAGAGGCCAAGAGCACUGACCACAAAAUAACGAUGGUUGGAGUCCGGUUUUGGCGUCCCAUGAGACCUUUGAGGAAGGGAUAGAGAUGAAGAAUCACCCAGAAGGCGAAGAAAACCUUCCCGAAAAGUGGCCCCAAGCUUCGUAUCCCUUGUUAAGGGCGUCUAAAGCUAAUCUAAUCUGGACUACCAAAAUCAUGAACUAUCAAUUUUCCAUCUUUUCAAUUUCUACAGAGCACCCAUUUCCUUCCUGCAAAUGGAUCUUACAAACUUCCACUCCGUUCUAUCAAUUUUGUUGGAAUUAAUAAUUCUGCGGAGCAUUUUUGCAGUGAAUUUCAGCGACCCAUUUGCCUAAUUAGUUUGUAGCAUAUUAUUCAAUGGCGAUGCAAUGCAGUAACUUUGGCGAAAGACGUGUAGUUGUGAAAAGAUGAAAAAGGAGAACGAUUGUGUAAUUUGGUUGUCAAUGUGUGCUUUAGGCUGAGCUAUUUAUGUCAAACAUUACAAGCCCCUAUAUUUAAGCAAAGAUGUGUAUAAAAGGUUUAGGAUUUUCUUAGCACCUUUAAUUCAAACAUGCUCAGUUUUGAAUUUAUACAUAACUAGAGUGUAGGGUUCCAACCACGUUGCUAAGUUGAGUUACUAGAAUUGGAUUGUCCUAUAAGGUUUAAAUUUCCCCAAGUUAUUUAUUGCAUUUUAGGAAGUGAUCUUACUGAUUCAUAUGAUGAUGAUGUUAUAUAAGUUCUUGAAUUGAGCUGUCAAACCACGAGCAUUGAUUAUAUCCAUUAUUUGGCACUUGCAAGAUUAUUUUUAUGUUUUUUUGAGUUCUAAAAGGUGUCAUUUUUUUCAGUUUUAGGUGAAAGAGAUACUAUCCCAUUAUCCAUCCAAUUACAAACCGUCUGCAGUGAUUCCAACAGCAGCAUGGAGGUUGGCUCCCUGUUUCAGCAAUGAAUGCGAGAUCAAGCAUGCAAGGGGAUGGUAGGAUCAACACAUCAAAGGAUGACUCAUACUUGGAUAGCUACAUCAGCACAAUCGGAGUUGAAUUUAAAAUUUGCAAGUCAUGAACACGGUGAAGUAUGGAUGAAUUCAAUUACCCCUUUACAAUUCUAGAUGGAAUGCCAUUGAAAGUAAUCAUUCUCACAUUCAUAUGAAUAAAUAAUGUUUCAGAUGUUAUGCCUGGUAGACAAGUUUCCAACGCUGAGUCCAAAGUAUAAGAAAUGAUGAGUUGUCAAGGUUGACUUCUUGCAUUUGGCUUAACACCUAAACAUGUCUUAUCUCAUCUACGUGUUGAUUACAUUUUGUUUGUGCUUAAUGGAAUGUUGAAAAAUGCUCAAGUGCAUGGUAAGUUCUUAUGAAUUUACUCUUUAACAGUGAGGUCAUUCGCAACCAUUUAUUUAAACGUUUGAUUAAGUAAACGUUUGAUUGUGUAUUUAUUUAAACGUUACAAUUAGUGAUAUACAUGCAAACGUUACAUUUUCUUUGAGCUGGAUUAGUUACAGAUGGAGAAGGGGGGAGGGUGUGGAAUGUCAGGGAGAGGAAGGGAGAGGGAGGUCUACAUCUCAGAGUCCAGCUCGAGUCCUCAGUUUCAGCAGCAGCGGCCACCACUCUUCCCCAAAGAAACAUGGACUUGCUUUUUUCUCUCUGCAGCGCUGCCCAUUUUCCACCAAAAUCACAUCUUAAACUCUUCCAAUUUCGAACACGAGAUGCCCGGAGAAGACCACCAAAUUGACACUCUUAUAAUAAAAAUUUAAAGAGGCCUGAGAAAACUAUGAGCUUCAACCUACGAAACAUUGUAAUGAUCAGUAUAUCAGAGCAAAGCUAAACAUAAUACACCUCAAAUUAGUGUAGAAAUUGUUGACUGCUGUGAACUUUUUUCAUUACGAGAAUCCAGUGACAGAACAAAGUAUGAUCUUAAGCAGCAACAAUUAAUCAGAUGAUAAGUAAAGGGUCAAAUCGAAACGAUAACCAAAGGAACUAGCCAAAACAUAACUCUCGCCUAAAUUUGAAUAAAAAAAAAAGUUGCAAAUGGGAACAAUAGCACAUUAGAAAACAUGAAUUUAGAGAUUAACAGAGUAAUUUUGAACAGCGAGCUACAAGAUGAACAGAAUGGAGUUCAAAAUUCAAGCGAAUCUACAACCUACCAGAAGCUCAACAUUAGGCUCAGCAAGCCAAAAAAAAAA